AGGCAAGGACAUCUACAUUAACAGAAGACUACAUCAAUCCUUCAAGCUAUAAUUAUGCUACUGUAUACCAAAACAAUAGCAUCAAAUUAAUUUGAUCCGAUGAGUUUGUUUAUUCAUUAGAAAAUUAUCUUUAGAAUACUUACUAAUUUUAUGUGUACCACAUCCUGUGUUAAUUCAAUUGAUUUGACAAUUUCUUGUUAUGUAGAUUUUGCUUUUGUUUAAUUUGACUAUACAUGUAUAAUUCACAAUGUUCUAGUAUUAUUAAUAUAAUUUAAAAUAUUUAUUCUUUUUAUAGCCAUUCAAGAAACGUAUGGUAACUUGGCCUUAAUGGAAGUUGAGUCGACGAGAAAGGAAAAGAAAGAAAUUAAAGACAAGAUAGAGUCUGAGACACAGCGAGUUUUAGGAUCAUUAUCAGACGGAGAACUCGAUGCCAUAUCAGAAUUAUUAGAAGGCCAGCCUGACCCUAAAGCCAUUUUACAGUCCUUGGGCAUUUCUCCAAUACUUCAAGAUAAGUUAAUGGAUAUUUUAAAAGCAAAAACAUAAUAGACAAAAUUGAGAAUUUAUGAUGCAUUUAUCAUUUGUAACACUUUGGAAAAGGGUUUGUUUAAUUAUGUGCGUUUAAUGGUUUGUUGAAAGAUUUAUUGUGCAUGCAUAGUGUUAAGUUAUAAAUAAAUUAAAUUAUUUUUGUUAACUCGAAGAGGCCUGAUAAUACUUGAAAGAUGUUUUAUGUUUUAAAUUGUUAUAAUUAUGACAAUUGAAAUUUGCAGUGUCAUUUAGUGAAGAUGUGUGAAGGUUAAGAGAAAACCUUUGAGAUUUAAAAUAUAUACCAGUAUAUUAUAAAAUAAAUUUGAGUAUUGAAGUUUAAAAUAGUUUAUAAUGGCAUUAUGUGAAUACUUCAUGUCGUUAUUUCCCAAAGGUUCUGUGUCAGUCAUUUAGAAAAAGGACUUUUUGGUUUUUUUUCUGUUUUUUUUAUCAUUUUUGGAGUUUCCCAUACCAAAACAUGUACUUGGUCAUUUCUGCUUAUAUCAUCUUCUUAAUCCGCAACUUCUUCAAAACGGCUUGACAGAAUUCGACCAAACUUGUUCUACAUAACGCGUCACCAGUGUCUGAAAAGAAAGUUGAUGAACCAGUGUUAUGUCAAAGAACAUCUUGUAUUUUUUCUAAAAAAGUUCAUCGGAAGAUACCAAGAUUUUUGUUGAUAAAUAUUCCGUAUCAACUUCACAAAUAAUACAUGAUGGGCCUGAAGUUCAGUGGUUGUCGUUGGUUCAUGUCUGUCAUAUUUGUUUUUCGUUAAUUUUAUUGUUAUAAAUCAGGCCGUUAGUUUUCUCAAUUGAAUUGUUUCAUAUUUUUCAUGUCGGGGCCUU